GAUAAACUCCAAUUUAGUGUAUUAUAUGUAGAUACUUUUGUGGUAUUUUAGAAUAAUAAUUACUUAUUAUUAUAUAAAUUACUAGCUUUAUUUAAGUAUUUAUUAUUACUAACUAUUAUUAUAUAUACCAUAUAUUAUUAAUACUAAUCACUUAAAUAUAUAUUACUUAAUAUUAUUAUAUUAUUUAUGUAGAUAUGAAUGGCCCAAAAGAAAGGCACACGAAGGCACAAUGAAAAGAAAGAAGCUUGUCCAAGUUGAAAGGAAAAAGGAAUACAGCUAGCUAUGAGAGAUUGUUUGGCGGUCAGAGAUUGAAAAAAGGAGAGUUAUUGAUUUUGUCUAUUUUGCAUCAAGUUGCAAAACAAUUGGAACACAUGUGCUGAAGGCGGUGAUGAGAAGAAGAGAGGACUUACUGACGAAGGAAUUAAACUGGAAACAGAGGCGGCACAACAAAGCUAUAAAUAGGGAACGCUUUCUUCUGUUCUGUAACACGGCUGAGAGAGAAAAAUUGGAAAAGUUUUGGAUUGAAGAUUGAAACUUUGGAGCAACAUAUUUUCUUCAUUCUAGGUUAUUUCUUACUCUUAAUUUCAUGAAUUCAACUUCUAUGUUGGUGUUCUUUUUGAUUAUGGAUAGCUAAAUACUAUUAUAGGGUUUAUGGUAAAUCUUGCAAUUAAAAUUCCUUUUGCUAUGUCUUAGCUUAUAUGUUCUAGUUUCUAAUUUGAAUUUCGAUAUUUUGUUCAAUUAAUGUUAUCCUAUUGAUUUUAUCACAUGAUUAGGAAUGAUCAACCUNNNNNCUUAGAUUAUUGCAUGACCAAACCUUAAUCUUAGUCUUCCAAUCAUUCAACCUUUUUGUGCUUUAUGCUUUUCUUAAAUUUCAACUCUUUGCAUGACCAAACAAAGGUUAAUUUAGGAAAAAGAAUAUUCAUCACAAUGACCAAACGGAUUAAUAGUUUUAGUAAAGAGAUUGGUAGUUGAGUUAAAAUAAAGGAAUUCAAAUGGAACUAGAUAUAGGGAAUCAAAUAUUGCAAGUGAAACCAUGACCCUAGACCUCUCUCUAUUGGUUUACAAACUUCACGUUUUUAUUCUUGUUCUUAUUCUUACUCGUCAUUAUUUUCUCUUUAGUUUUCAUGACAAUUCAACUACUCGUUAGUUUAAAUAAUAAAUAAUCUUAACUAGUUUGGUGUUUGUUAAUUAAUCCCUGUGGAUACGAUAAUCUUUGAUACUACUUCUGCGCUAGAGUACACUUGCUCUAAGUGUGUUUUUAACGCAACAA
rnacentral:lncRNA from 1 species